ensembl:rRNA 5S_rRNA 5S ribosomal RNA
GCUUGCAGUGAUACCACCUCGAAGUAUGUGAUCUUGUCUGAUCCUGCAAUUUAAGCAGGGUGGGGCUUGCUCGGUAUUUGGAUGGGGACAAGUUAAAACAACGUUUUGCCAGAA